CGGGCUCCCUCCCGCCCCAAGCCAGCGCCAGGCCGGGUGGCCUGAGGUGGCGGGAAGGGAGAGAGCCUGCGGCGAGCCGGGCUCACCCCGGCCCGCGAGCGCGGCGCCCUACCGGCUGAGACGGAAAAGAAACCAGACACGCACCAGAGGAAGCGGGACGAGUGGAUCCGCACCGGGCUGGCCGGCUCCGGGACAGCGCGCCCCGCCCGGCGUGAGCCGGACCCCGCAGCAGGACGAUCCCGCGCUGCCCGCCGCCGCCGCCGCCGCCGCGCUCCGAGGCCGCCGCCCCCGGCCGGCCGCUCCCAGGCACCGCCGUGACCUGCCCCGGCCGGCCCCGGGCUCUCGGCCGCCGCGGGAGGGCGUGGGGCGGGGCGGCGGCCGCCGGACUCUCCCCUCGCCUUGCCGGGCCGGGCCGGGGCCCCGCUCCGGCGCCCGCUAACGCCAACUGACAGAAGCGCCUCGCUCCGCGGCCGCGCGGAGCUGUUUCCCGGGGGCGGAUUUCUCGCUUCUUCCUCCCUGGAUCCACCUCCUCCCACUCCACCUCCUUCCCCUCCCCUCCCCAGGGGAGGCUCUGGGGCUGAAUAUUUUCUGUCUUGAAUAACACGGGCCCGGGAAACCGACGCUGGAGAAGGGGGAUUACCCGGAGGCCGGAGGGGGGUGCUCGCCUGCCCCCUCCCCGUGGGUCGCGGGACCUACAAGCCCUCGCUCCCCAGCACCCCAAAACCAGAGCGACUGAGCGAAUUUGGCGCGGCUAGCGGAACUGUGAAGAGGCUGCUGCGCUUCUCUGUCCGCCACACUUCAGGUCACAGCGGCUCCGGAGCCGCGGCACAACCGCCUCCUUCCCCACCCAGCUCCCGGGCCUUGUCACAGACCCCGGCAGUUCGCUCCGCCCCACCGCGCCUCACAACAUCUCCCGCUGCAAAUUGUCCAAUCGGGAGACACGAUGGGAGAACGCGAGCCAAUCAGAGACUGGUUAGUCAGGCUUCCCUCCGCCCUCUUCCCCGCCCCCAGGUGAAGGCCACCGCCCCCUCGGCCUCCCCUUCCCACCCCGCCCGGCUCCUGAGAGCUGGCUCCCCGGCUCCGAACCUCGCGGGUCUGGAGGGGAGUUGCUCGCAGUCGGAGGCAGCGUUUCUCACCUUGUCACCCUCAUCCUCGGCCCCUUCCCAUACACACUCCCCUCUCCUUUUCAGUGCUCCUGCUGGUGCUGUUGAGGGUCAUUUUUAUCCUCACUGCGGCGGGGGACUGCCAGCUAUUGUGUCUGAUCAGCUGCCACCGCCGUCCAGAGGGAAAAAAAAGAGGAACAAAACCUAGAAGCUAUGGAGUCCGCUUACCUUUUCCUUCUUUCUUGCUACUCUCCCCUGUAGACUUAGAGUCUUCCCCCGCCCGCCCACCACCUGAGGUCCUGUUUCUUUGUGGGGGACAGGGGAGCGGGGACAUAAAGCAUGCCCUGCAGCUGGGGCACCUGCGCCUUCGUUUUUACAUCUUCCUUAAAGUGGAUGGUGCCAAACCAAAUCGACAGCUAAAUCCUUCGCUUCAAUUCGAGGAAAGACGUUGACGAGAUCAUUUUUAGAUGGCCACGAAAUUUGCAUGUUCUUGACAGCCCGUCACCAAACAAGUCAGCUAACAAUCAAGAAAAGAAAAAUAGAAUAAAAUACAAGGAGGGAUUGCCAGUCAGAUGGUAAUUUACUAAAUAGCCCACUGGCUGUAGCAGUAUCCAGUGCUAGAUACUAUUGAGUAAAUUAACAAGAAGUGAAUAGAAAUUCAGGGUUCAAGUAGCUCACCGCUUGUGGGUUUAUAGAAUAUGUCCAGAAAGGAAAAACAAUUUACAGCACAAAACAACUCCUUACACAUGCAAAUGUGCAUGCACGGCAUAAACGGAAUACCUAACAGCUAGGGACAUUUGGGUUAAAAUUUUUGCACUAGAAAUUUUUGUAAAUGUCGAUUGUGAAAUUUGCAGUUUGAUAAAGGAGAGUAAAAUGUGGGCCAUGAAAGGAGAAGGAAAAGGAAGGAAAACACAUUCUAAGAAUUAUGGAAAAAUAACAUAACCUAGAGAGGCAAUAUUUCUAUAAGAGGUAAUAGGAUGUAAGGACCAAGAUUACAAUCCAACUCCAUUUACCACAUAACUUAGCGCAAAUUAUUACUUAUGUGUCAAAGUACUAGAGCUAUCAAAUUCAACGCCUCCUGCUAGGUAUUCCUCUAAAAGCUUUACACAACGAGAUAGGUGGGUGGUGAAGGAAGGUUUCAAGCCCAGGGGAUCUGGCUCCAGAGUCCAUUCUUUUAUUCACAAUACUAUACUAGGCUGGGCUCAGUGGCUCACGCCUGUAAUCCCAACACUUCGGGAGGCUGAGGUGGGAGGAUCGCUUGAGUCCAGGAGUUUGAGACCAGCGUGGGCAACAUAGGGAGACCUGUUUGUACAAACAAAAUGUUAGCUGGGCGUGGUGGCAUGCGCCUGUAGUCCCAGCUGAUUAGGAGGCUGUGAGGCAGGAGGAUCGCUUGAGCCCAGGAGUUCAAGGCUGCAGUGAGCUUAUUCAAGAGUGCAUCCAGCAGGGCAAACAGACCAGACUGUGUCUCAAAAAAAAAAAAAAAAAAAGAUGAAACAACAGUAUAUUACCUCUUAAUAUGGGUUUUUAAUAAUAACAGCUAACACUUAACUUACUAUGUGUUAAUUAUUGUGGUCUUUCAGUGCCAAUGUAACUCUACUCCUGGGACAAAUAUAAUUGUGAUGUUCCAAAAUUUGGGAAUGUUUUUAAGAACUGUUAUGAUAAGUUACUCUCUUAGGUGUCUCACGUGUAUUAGGCUAUCUGGAUGGAGAGUGCAAAAGGCACAUAGUUAAAAUUUGAAAAAUUUAACUGGGCUUCCACUGGGCCUCUGAGUUGUAACAGCACCCUCCCUAUCUUGCUGGACUGUUGAAGAGAAUCAAAUGAGACAUAGAUGUGAAGAAACUUUUAAGGCCAGGUGCAGUGGCUUAUGCCUGUAAUCUCAGCACUUUGGCAGGCCCAGGCAGGAGGACCGCUUGAGCCCAUGAGUUCGACAAGCCUGGGCAACAUAACGGGGUCCUAUCUCUAUUAAAAAAAUUUUGUUAAGUUAGCCAGGUGUGGUGGUCAAUGCCUGUGGUCCCAGCUACUUGGAAGGCUCAGGUGUGAGGAACGCUUGAGCCCGAGAGAUCAAAGCUGCAGUGAGUCUUGAUCACGCCAGCGCACUCCAGCCAGGGCAACAGAAGACACUUUUAAAAUGUAAAAAAAAAUUAUUUCAAUUAAAAUAUUAUGGACUGAGCAUGGUGGCUUAUGUCUGUAAUCCCAGCUCUUUGGGAGGCCAAGGCGUGCAGAUCACUUAAGGCCGGGAGUUCGAGACCAACCUGGGCAACAUGGUGAAACCCUGUCUCUACUGAAAAUACAAAAAUUAGCCUGGCGUGGUAGCACGAGCCUGGAAUUCCAGCUGCAUGAGAGGCUGAGGCAUGAGAAUCUCUUGAGCCCGGGAGGCAGAGGUUGGAAUGAGCUGAGAUUGCACCACUGCACUCCAGCCGGGAUGACAGAGCGAGGACUCUAUCUCAAAAAAUAAAAUAAAAUAUGAUUAUGAAGCAGAAGUUUGUACUAUUUCCCCAACAGCAACCCUACUGUUUAUAACAUUUUAUUGUUACUGUUUAGGAAUAUAUGAACCCAGUUAAAAAUUAGGUCUAUUCCUUUCUGAAGCCAUGAACAAGAAUAUUUUAAUAUCAGCUCUCAUUUGGAUGCUUUUGCUUGUUUGUUUUGUUUGUUUUUGUUGUUUUUGAGACGGCGUCUCACUCUGUCACCAGGCUGGAGUGCAGUGGCACAGUCUCGGCUCACUGCAACCUCUGCCUCCUGGGCUCAAGAGAUUCUGGUGCCUCAGCUUCCUGAAUAGCUGGAACUACAGGCACACACCACCACACCAGGGUAAUUUUUCUUUCUUUUUCUUUUACACCCCCCCACCGCCACACCCCCGCCGCCACACCUCCCCCCCGCCCCCCCGCCUUAGAGACAGGGUUUCGCCACAUUACCCAUUACCCAGACCAAUCUCGAAUAACUGACACCUCAACCUCCCAAAGUGCUGGGUUUACAGGCGUGAGCCACCGUGCUUGGUCAUUUGGAUGCUCUCUGACCAGACCAAAAAGUGAGUGUGGCACCCCUAUGCAUCUGGAAAGAGGAAGCCUACAGCUGGUUUUUCUCCAUUCCAAAGGCUAAUCGGCUUAAUUGCCGGAGGGUGCAAGCCUUUGGAAUUCUCUUUAGCUGCCCAUGGUGGACAUCUCACUUGUGAACACCUCCACCAGAGGGAGGGCAAGGGAAAAGAAAGGGGGCCAAACUUCAGUCAUGCGGCUAUGUGUUAGUUUCAGUAAGAGAUUUGGUGAAACAAUAGGUUUUGGGGCCAUUGUAACUGAAAGGAGAUUGAAACUAACUGGUUGCUAUCUUGAUAGUUUUCUUUAUCCUCAAAUAUCAUGGAUAAGCAAGAGCUAACAGUAAUUCUAGCUUUGUUUGCUUUGAAGGCUAUUUUCCUCCUUAGAGUAUAGCUAAUAAAUGUGUGGGUUUCCUAUAAUCAAACUUCUUGGAGUAUCCUUUGAAAUAGCCUCUGAAAUUACC
rnacentral:lncRNA from 10 species